CUUUGCUUGAUAAACACUUAAAACACAGCUGCCCAGAAGCACACACCACACCUUCUUCCACUCGCCAGAACCUGCGUCUUUGCCCCUAGAACCUAAGGCCUUUGUUCGUGCUUUAGAGCCAUUAGAAGUUGGUGUUAAAUCCCCUAAGAAGUCAGUAUUUCAAGAUACACCAGUAUUUGGACUAGUUAAGGAGCUUUAAUCAAGGUUUAAGCUAGGAUUUCUAAGGUACUAAGCUUGAUUAUCCUAUAACCUUCCUUCUUUGAGUUGUUAUAAUGAUUAUGUGUAUGAUGUGAAUUGUGAGCUAAUUUCUAUGUGGAACCAGAAUGUAUAUAACCUUUUUAAAGUUAUAUUGAGUGCAUAUAUAGUUGCUUUAAAGUUAUGAGUACUCAUUCUUAAGUUGUAAUUGCUAAAUAUGUUGUAUAUAUGUCAUUAUGGUAAGUGUUUGUAGUGGUUAAGCUUGAUAUCAAUGUAAAUAUGCUAUUUAUGUUAUUUAACCUACUGUUUAGCUACUGUAAAAUAUUAACUUAGUGUCCAUGAAGUAAUUUAGUUGUGCUAAUCAAAGGUUUAUAAAUACUAUGAAGACUAAUGCCCUGAUUUAUAGUCGUUUCCGUAGAAAAAGCUAGUAUGA